rnacentral:lncRNA from 1 species
GCUCAAUGGCUGCGUGGUGCUGGGUAGUUCCUUCCCUCCCCUGGGGCCUGCCCUCUUGGCAACAAGAGGGACUUGCUCACGUGGGAGCUGAGAGUCCUUCCAGCUCUAAUUCUCCCUUGGGGCCUGAGUCCUCCUUGCACUCUGUUUUACCACAGGGUCUCUGUCCUUGUGGUCUCAUCAAAACCUGCUUUCAUGAGAAGGGAUAUUUAUAUCUUUCUGAUAUCAGUGCUGUGAGUCACUUAUGGUCACGGUGUGUGUCACUGUGGACUGCCCUGACCUCAAGCUGUGCAUAGCCCAGAAGGACAGAGGAGGCAGAAAUGUCUGUCCUGAGAGGGAACAUGAGUGCCACAAGAGGUGAAACACGGCCCUGGGCUUCAGAGGAGAUUACUAUUUGUUGGGGGACCAAGAAAGGCUUCAUUCUUAUCAAAGGUGUUUAAAGUGAACCCUUCAGGUGGGAAGGAGUUUGGUGGAGUUUAAGUGGGGUAUGGGGAGAGCAUUCUGGAUGCAAAUAAGAACACGGUUGAGACUGCACAGGGAGGUAAGAAGUUCUGUACUUAAGAGGGAGGAUACAGCGAUGUGCACAACAUCCCUGACUUGCCUUGGUUCGACUUAGGAUUUUUGAUUUCAUGAUGGCGUGAAACCAAUAUCAUUCUGUAGAAACCCUGCUUUGAAUUUGGAUCUUUUCCCCAGCUAGCCAUAUGUGGUAUGAUCACCUCUCUCAAGAUUGGGCAGCAGCAGCUAGCCCCAGCUCUUAACUCCACCUAGUAGUUAAAGUAUAUUAUUAUUUUUCCCCCAUAUUUUUUAUUGAUGCAGUAUAAUUAUACAUAUGGAUUUUGUUGUUACAUAUUUGUAUGCACACACGAUGCAAUAUAACAAUAUAAUUUGGCCAGUAUGAGUCCUCAGCACUUCCCCCCUCCCUUCUCACCUCCCACCUUCUUGUCCCUUUCCUCUACUGAGCUCCUUUUGAUUUUCAGAGAUCCACCCCCACCUUUCUUUUCCUUUUUCCUCUCCAGCUCCUGCAUUCAAAAGAAAAUAUAUGACCCCUUAAGUUAGUUUAGGUAUAUUAAAUUCAUUUUUGACUUAUGACAGUUUCAACUUCCGAUAGUUUCAACUUAUGAUACAUGGGCUUACCAGAAUGGAACCCAAUACCCCAGCAUAGGUGGAGGAAUGCCUGUGGGUGGGAAGGC